rnacentral:rRNA from 1 species
GAUGAACGCUGGCGGCGUGCCUAAUACAUGCAAGUCGAGCGAACGGACGAGAAGCUUGCUUCUCUGAUGUUAGCGGCGGACGGGUGAGUAACACGUGGAUAACCUACCUAUAAGACUGGGAUAACUUCGGGAAACCGUAGCUAAUACCGGAUAAUAUUUUGAACCGCAUGGUUCAAAAGUGAAAGACGGUCUUGCUGUCACUUAUAGAUGGAUCCGCGCUGCAUUAGCUAGUUGGUAAGGUAACGGCUUACCAAGGCAACGAUGCAUAGCCGACCUGAGAGGGGGAGAGCCCCCACGGGAAGGGAACCCGCGACCGGCCUCCCGGGGGAGGCACAAGAGGGGAAUGGCCGGCAAGGGGCGAAGACCGGAGGGAACAGCGCGGCGGGAGUAAGAAGGUUCUUGGGAGCGUAAAACUCUUUUAUGGGGGAAAAAAAUAUGUGUAAGAAAAUGUACACUCUUGGAGGGUCAUAAAUAAAAAACCCAGGCCAAACCAGGGG